rnacentral:rRNA from 1 species
AAAGCCUAUCUCAGUUCGGAUUGGAGGCUGAAACUCGCCUCCAUGAAGUUGGAUUCGCUAGUAAUCGCGCAUCAGCCAUGGCGCGGUGAAUACGUUCCCGGGCCUUGUACACACCGCCCGUCAAGCCAUGGGAGUUGGGGGUGCCUGAAGUUCGUGACCGCAAGGAGCGACCUAGGCAAACUAAUGACUGGGCUAAGUCGUAACAAGGUACC